rnacentral:rRNA from 1 species
AUUGAACGCUGGCGGCAUGCCUUACACAUGCAAGUCGAACGGCAGCACGGGGUAACCUGGUGGCGAGUGGCGAACGGGUGAGUAAUGCAUCGGAACGUACCUUUCAGUGGGGGAUAACGUAGCGAAAGUUACGCUAAUACCGCAUAUUCUGUGAGCAGGAAAGCAGGGGAUCGCAAGACCUUGCGCUGAUUGAGCGGCCGAUGUCAGAUUAGCUAGUUGGUGAGGUAAAGGCUCACCAAGGCGACGAUCUGUAGCGGGUCUGAGAGGAUGAUCCGCCAAACUGGAACUGAGACACGGUCCAGACUCCUACGGGAGGCAGCAGUGGGGAAUUUUGGACAAUGGGGGCAACCCUGAUCCAGCCAUGCCGCGUGAGUGAAGAAGGCCUUCGGGUUGUAAAGCUCUUUCGGCCGGGAAUAAAUCGCACGGGCUAAUACCCUGUGUGGAUGACGGUACCGGAAUAAGAAGCACCGGCUAACUACGUGCCAGCCGCCGCCGUAACAC